GCAGAUUUACCGGAUCUGGGCGAAGAAGCACGCGAUAGAGAGAAAGUUAGCUUCACAUGAGCGAGCUCCCGUGUUGCUUUCAAUACGACAAGAAGGGAACAUCUUCAGAGGAGUGAAGUUGACCGGCAAUGAAGAAGGCAGAGAAGCUCGCGUGAGAAGGAGAAAUUUACUUCACAGCCAGCGAACUCGCAUUGUUGUUUCUGAUCAAAUGUUGUAACUUCUGACUCGACUGGAAGAGAACAUCGCCAAAGGGGCAAAGUCGAUCAACAAUGAAGGAGUCGAAGUCAAACAAUAGCAAAGGAGUGAAGAAGCUUCAGCUGUGAGGGGGAUUGUGAGUGGGGGAGAAUAGAGCAAGAGGAAAAGCCUCGUUUCUUUCGUAUUUAAGCGAGGUAGGACGAUGCAUCCAAAGCGAACGUGCGAUUGGUGGCAUUGACGUGCGAGCCUCGUGCGAAGAACGGCGGAGGACAUCCGACUCGCAAGAUUUCAGGGAUUUGCGAUUAUGCGAGUCGGCGCCAGACAGGAUUUUAGGUGGUGAUCCCUCUCCCAAGGAGUUCUUGGAGUUAUACGGCCAUCGGAUCAUUGAUGUGGAUUCGUCGAGCCCCGUCCGAUCCGAUGUCAUUUGGUAUCAGAGCCAACUAGUGCUUCUUGCUCUGUAUCCUGAGAAGUCCUCAGGUGGUGAAGAGAAGAACCUAGCGGAAGAAGCCAAGUCGGAGGCCGUUCAAGGUCCGACGGGUUCAGCUCCGACAUGAAACCGCAAGAAAGCACUAAAAUUCUUGUUUACAGGACAGAAGGAAUCGAGUCCAUGGUGUUCUGAACAAGAUACAAUUCUUGUUCUAAGAAGGUCAUAGCAUGGUGGAUGCCACUAACAUGGCUUUAAGCCAUUCUUUCCCUCUUGCAAACAGUAGUUUGUUGGAAUUAGUACAAAUAUUGAUUCGGUAAAGUAAAACAAUAUCUUGGCAUGUUGUUGGGCUGAUUCCAUCUGCCCAAACCUGGUUCCAAAUCUUCCAGCGUCUUAUUGUAUUGAGCCUCCUCGGUGAAGCCAGCGAGCUCCGUGCUAAUUUGUCACCGAUCGAUCCCGAAACGGUAAACGGGAAGAAGAAGCUGAAGCGAAAUACGUAAGAGGGGUAGUCAAAGGAGUCGAUACGUGUUUGAAUCAAAUAAUUCAUCCCUACAUCUCUUUUAUCGAGGGCUGAUCUGCCUUCAUUCCAACUGUUUCUCACAAGUGCACCUUCAACCCAUCCUUCGCCGACCGUCCUAGGCGGAGCAUCUUUAGACACAGCAAGAUUUCAUCGAGUUCUCUGUUUCCUAUAGCAGUCACAAGAAUUUCAGCCACUGGAUUCUUGGUGUUGUCUUCUUCAGACGAUCGCCUCCUUUUCGCAGAUAAUUGCAGUCGUUUUCCUGUCAAAUAAUCAACUACCCAGCCAUCUGCAGCCUCCAUUUUUUUUUUUGUUCCUCCCAUGCUGUUGUUUCAACCAAAAUAUAUCUUUAUAUUGUUAUAUUUAUAGUGCUCGUCCCUUCCACUCAUGUAGAAAGCUGCACUCAUGUAGAAAGCUGCAACCACUUGUUUUUCCUCCUCCCCAGCCCACGUAUGAUGCUAUUCCAAGCACCAAGAACAGCAUAGUUCCUGAUUCUUUGUCAAGAAAUUAGUAGCUAAAAGAGCAAGAUGUGGCCUUGUUGGACUCGACAGCGACCACUUCAACGAGCAGUGAUUGAAGACCUUCAACGAGAAAUUUCCCAACUCCAACAGCAACUGUCAAGGCUCGAACGAAAAAAACACUUGAGCCCAUUUGCCCGUGACAUUGCUGUCCGACCACCGAGGAUAUAUGCUCACAAGGCGGCAUAUAGAUCCUCCAUUCAGGCCGAAUCCCUACGAACCAAUGACAGAGAUGAUAUCUUGGAAGAUCAGAGUCCUUCCUAUGAAGACAUUUUUGAAGGGUCGCCCUGUAAGUCUUCCUCAUCCUCGAUCGAGUCCAUCUUCGAUGGGUUUAAGGAUUUGUUGCCGAAAUCGGCAUCAUUACCUAUCUAUGAUGAGCCCUUGUAUGACGUGUAUGAUGAUGACAUGUUCGGUAAAGUUCUUGAUUUUGAUAAGCCAAUAUAUGAUGAUGAUCAGAGCGAGCCGGAUGUCCAGUAGGAACUAUUCACUCCUAGUGUUCACAAUAAGGCAAUAAACUUGAUCGUCAUCACUAGUAAAAAAUUUACAAUUCAAUAUCUCUCAAAUGGGUUGGAUAUUGAAGCUUCCACGUACUUCUCUAGGAUGCUGAAAGAAACACAAAUGAUUUCAAAUAAUCUCACAAUCACAAAUGAUCCAUCCACUUGGGCUAAACUUGAGAUAUCGAAGGUUGGUAGACAAAUGGACAUUGGGUGGACCUAUCCUGUCCGAUUUAGCCAACCAAAUCCACCUCCUUAUGGUGGCCAACCAAACAUAUUCCUAUGAGCCUGAAGUUCCUCCUACCCCGGUAGUAUGAUGCCAGAGCUGAGCUGAUCAAUCCUGAUUAACUUCAGGAUUUCAGGUGGUGAUCACUCUCCCAAGGAGUUCUUGGAGUUAUACAGCCACCGGAUCAUCGACGAGGAUUCAUCGAACCCCCUCCGGUCCGGUGCCAAUAAGCCAAAUCUGUCCAUAUCCAUCAUGUUUAGACGCAUGAUAUAUGUCUAUUGAUUCCAUAUUUGUUCUCUUGACGCACCUUUUCUAUCCAAAGCACUCUACAGUUGUAUCUAGAAAAGAUAUGUAAAAAAGUUCCUUCAUGUUGAGACGCACCAUAUCUGUAUAACCAAACCAUGCAUCUAGUCUGAGCAAACCAAUUCUGCUUAAAUCAUUUUCCUUAUGGCUCAAAUAGAAAAAAAUCUGUUUAAGCAUUUCCGAUUGAAUAAGUGAACCAAAUUCACAUGGCGUUUGCACGUCUCUCUUCAAGUGAGCCAUAUCCACUUGAGGAGUCCUGUGCAUGAACUGGUCACAUUUGCUAAGAUAUCCUUCACAUAUAUUGCAUUAUAGUUUAAUAAGCCACAGCUAGCAACACAAGUUUAUGGGGUAUGUAAGCAUACAAAUUUGCUUAAAUACUCGCAUCAAUUUCAACUUAAAUAUCUACUUCAUAUGGAGACAUUUAUAUUGUAUCAGGUUGUUUGAGCAUACCUUACUUAUUCAAACACCCAAAUCAUCUCCCACUUGAUUGUUUGGACCAACAAACCCGAACAUCAAUGAAUGUUGGAUGUUUGAGUGGAUUAUAUCUUCUUAAG